GGUCAAGCGAACAAGUGCAUGUGGUGGAUGCCUUGGCGAUCACAGGCGAUGAAGGACGCGGUAGCCUGCGAAAAGCUUCGGGGAGCUGGCAAACAAGCUUUGAUCCGGAGAUGUCCGAAUGGGGAAACCCGGCCCGAAUGGGUCAUCCCACACUGAAUCCAUAGGUGUGGGAAGCGAACGCGGCGAACUGAAACAUCUAAGGUACCAAUCACUAGUGAAUUC
rnacentral:rRNA from 1 species